rnacentral:tRNA from 1 species
ACUUGAAUAGCUUAUAUUAGAGUAUAACAUUGAAGAUGUUGUCGAGGUUAAAACUUACCUUCAAGUA